GUAUCAAAUUGGCGCAACAAAUUGUUCGAAUCUCUCUCUCUAUCUCUCUAGUAUCGUGACCUUGUAGAAGCUGAAGCUUGAGGGAUUGGAUGCAGAGAAACGCGAGAGAUGGAGGAGCUUUCGACAUUCUCGAUUGCUUAUCGCUACUCAAACUCCAAUUCUCCCGUUGCAGCUGCUCUCGCUCUUUGUUCGAAAGGCCAAGGAAGAAGGAUUGUAAAAGUAACUAGAAUUCUCUCUGGUUGUUAUGGGCUCUUUUCAUAAUGGGCCGAUUAGUAUAGCUCAGGUUACUGUAAUAAUUGGGUUUUCUCUGGGGUCAAUUAUAUCACUUGUAACAAAACACAAAUACUAAAAUAUAUUUAUACAGACAAUAGUAUUUUACAAUCUUUUUUUUUGAUACAAAUACAGAGUUCAAAAAUAUUUUAAUGAAAUUUUUUUUAUAUUUUUUCGGAAUGUAAAUUACUUUAUAUAAAAACAAAUAUUUAAAAUAUUCUCUUCGAACAAUUAAUGUUAAAUUAAUUAUUAACUAAAUCAAUACAUCUUCAAAAAUCAUUAACUGUUCAAAAAUUGUCAAUUUUAUUUCCAAAAUACCUUACAUAAAUUGUCGAUUUUAUUUUCAAAUAACUUUCAAAAAACAAAAUUUAUGUAUAAUAAGACAUAAUAAUCAUGAAAACCAUUAACACUUUAAAAAAAAAAAAUCCAACAAGACAAGUCAGCAGAUAAGAGCUAAACGAAUAGCAAAUAAGGCCACAACACAUCAUCAGACCGUGACUAAUUGAAAAUAAAAAAAAAAGAAAUAUUUUCAAAAAAGGGAAGGAGACAGACACUGGGA